GCCACACAAGCACAACCAAACCUUAUCUCCUCUUUUUUAUGCAUUCUGUGAGUCUGUGACUUCAGUCUCUCCUCUCCUCUUCUCAAUUCUCAUCGACCAGUCGACCUUAAUACCACUCUAUCCAGCCACUCAGAUUGCAAAGGUCUAGGACUCUAGGUCAGCAGGCCAUCUAGCAAUUUUGUGGGAUUUUGGAAUUGAGAAAUUGGAGAAGUCGAGGCUGUCGAGCAGUGAACAAACUCAGAGUCACAGGCUAUGAUUUGAGUUCAAGGAAUCAGUUUCUCUCAUUCACAUUGAUUUGCUAAUUUUGUUUGAAUUGUCUCGGGAUGUUGCUUGAAUUGAUUUGCUAAAAUUUAGAAGCAUGCCUCCUAAAAGAAAAUGUUUAACUGGACAUGCAAAACGCUUAAAGAAAAAAAAAGAUGCACAGUUGGUUAAUUCUUUAAGGGGAAGUCUUGAUAGGUUCAUUAGUAGAGAAUCAGAAGGUUUGGGUGGGCGUUUAGUUAAUGAAGUGGCAGAAGAGCACACUGAUAGGGAAGAUAAUGUGGAAGAGCACACUGAUGGCAAUGUAGUUGUCGAUAAUUUGGGUCAUGAUGAAAAUGAGAAUGGUACAGGACAUAAUGAUAAUGUGAAUGAUGCUCCUGUGAAUAUUUUUGACCCAAGAAAUUGGGAUAGUUUGGAUAAAAAGUUGAUAGAUUUGUUGGUAGAAAAGGUCCUCAUAGAGAUCUUUCAAUAGAAAAUGGUCCUCCAAACAAGUUCAAUAGACGUUUCAGUUCAAAAUUCUACACUCGGUUUUUAGGAAUUGGAGUGAAAUAUGAUAGAGAGUGGCUAGUGUACUCAAAGGAAAUUGAUAAGGUUUUUUGUUUUUGUUGCAAGUUGUUUAAGAGAGAGCCAAUGCAAGGUUAGUUACCGAAUGAUGGGUACAAUGAUUGGGUUCAUCUUAGUAAAAGACUUAAAGAGCAUGAAAUGAGCACUGAUCAUCUCAUUAAUGCAAAUACUUGGACUGAUUUGCGUAUUCGAUUGCAGAAGCAUGAAACAAUUGAUAAAGCUUUUCAAGAUGAAAGAGAAAGAACACUGGAGGAAUGUGCUUAAAAGAAUAAUUGCAAUUGUCAAAUUUCUUGCUAAAAAUAACUUAGAUUUCCGUGGAACUGAUGAGAGGCUUUGUGAACCUGAUAAUGGACACUUCUUAGGCCAAGUUGAAAUGGUGGCAGAAUGUGAAGAAGUGAUGGAGGAGCAUUGUAGACGCAUAAAUAGUUUUGAAAUUCAUCAUCACUAUCUUGGUCAUAAAAUUCAGAAUGAGUUGCUGCAUAUGAUAGCUAUUGAAAUUAAAGCUGAAAUCAUAAAAAAAAUUAAAGAUGCUGAAUAUUUCUCGGUUAUUCUUGAUUGCACACUAGAUAUUAGUCACCAAGAGCAGAUGUCAUUGAUAAUUAGAUGUGUAAAUGUUUCAAAGAGUCCAAUACAAAUUGAAGAGUUCUUUUUGGAGUUUUUAAAUCUACAUGACACUUCUGGUCAGGGACUAUUUGAAGAGCUGCAGGCUGUGGUAUAAUCAUUGGAUCUUGAUAUUAACAAUGUGAGGGGACAAGGAUAUGACAACGGGUCAAACAUGAAAGGCAAACACCAAGGGGUUCUACAAAGCAAUGGCAGAUUUUGAAAGACAACCUAAAAGGAUUCACUCUCAAAUCAUUAUCCACUACGCAUUGGGAGAGUCCUAUUGAAAGUGUUAAGCCUCUACGAUUCAACGCCGUUGAAAUAAGAGAAGCAUUACUUCAAUUGGCAGAAAUUGACAAGGAUCCCAAAAUUAAAAGUGGUGCAAAGUCGAUAGCAACUAAUGAUUUGGGAGACUUUGAGUUUUUGCUAAGCAUGGUGAUUUGGUAUGAGAUGUUGUUUUCUUUUAAUAGGGUUAGCAAAGUGCUGCAGUCUAAUGAUAUGCAAAUUAGUGUUGCUAUAGCUGAAGUAAAAGGUCUAAUUGCUUGGCUUGAUAAGUUUAGAGAAACUGGCUUCAUAGAUGCAAUGAUUACUGCUAAAGAAAUUGCUGCUGCAUUAGAUGUUGAUCCUAUUUUUCUGGAAAAGCGUCCAAUUCAAAUAACAAGAUUUUUUUAUGA